AAGCAUAUCAAUAAGCGGAGGAAAAGAAACUAACAAGGAUUCCCCUAGUAACUGCGAGUGAAGCGGGAAGAGCUCAAAUUUGUAAUCUGGCGGUCUCAGAUCGUCCGAGUUGUAGUCUAGAGAAGCGUUUUCUGUGCAGGACCGUGUACAAGUCCCUUGGAACGGGGCGUCAUAGAGGGUGAGAAUCCCGUCUCUGACACGGACUACCUGUGCUCUGUGAUGCGCUCUCGAAGAGUCGAGUUGUUUGGGAAUGCAGCUCAAAAUGGGUGGUAAAUUCCAUCUAAAGCUAAAUAUUGGCGAAAGACCGAUAGCGAACAAGUACCGUGAGGGAAAGAUGAAAAGCACUUUGGAAAGAGAGUUAAACAGUACGUGAAAUUGUUGAAAGGGAAACGAUUGGAGUCAGUCGCGUCUCCUGAGACUCAGCCUACCAGUAUGGUAGGUGUACUUCUCGGGUUUGAUGGGCCAGCAUCGUUUUCGACUGUUAGAAAAGGGCAAAGGGAAUGUGGCACCCUUUGGGUGUGUUAUAGCCCUUUGUCGUAUCUAACCGUCGGGAUCGAGGAUCGCAGCACGCCUUUAAUGGCCGGGGUUCGCCCACGUAACGUGCUUAGGAUGCUGGCGUAAUGGCUUUAAACGACCCGUCUUGAAACACGGACCAAGGAGUCUAACAUGCCUGCGAGUGUUUGGGUGGAAAACCCCGGACGCGUAAUGAAAGUGAAUAUGUUGGGAAUCUUCAUCCAGGAGUGCACCGACGCCCGGACCAGACCUUCUGUGACGGUUCCGAGGUAGAGCAUGUAUGUUGGGACCCGAAAGAUGGUGAACUAUGCCUGAGUAGGGUGAAGCCAGAGGAAACUCUGGUGGAGGCUCGUAGCGAUUCUGACGUGCAAAUCGAUCGUCGAACUUGGGUAUAGGGGCGAAAGACUAAUCGAACCAUCUAGUAGCUGGUUCCUGC
rnacentral:rRNA from 1 species